rnacentral:rRNA from 1 species
UACGAAGGGGGCUAGCGUUGCUCGGAAUCACUGGGCGUAAAGGGUGCGUAGGCGGGUCUUUUAAGUCAGGGGUGAAAUCCUGGAGCUCAACUCCAGAACUGCCUUUGAUACUGGGUAUCUUGAGUAUGGAAGAGGUGAGUGGAAUUCCGAGUGUAGAGGUGAAAUUCGUAGAUAUUCGGAGGAACACCAGUGGCGAAGGCGGCUCACUGGUCCAUUACUGACGCUGAGGUGCGAAAGCGUGGGGAGCGAACAGG